CUANGGUAGCAUAAUCAAUAGUUUUUUAAUUGGAAGCUGGAAUGAAUGAUUGAAUGAGAUAAUAACGCUCAGCUUUAAUGAUUUAGAAUUUUAUAUUUAAGUAAAAAAGCUUAAAUGAUUUUAAAAGACGAGAAGACCCUAUAGAGUUUAAUAGGUUAAUUGAAUUAAAAUUAUUAUUAUGAUUAUUUUAUUUUAAUUAAUUUAUUUUGUUGGGGUGACAGAAAAAUUAAUAUAACUUUUUUUUUAUUUUUACAUAGAUUAAUGAGCUAAUGAUCCAUAAAUUAUGAUUAUAAGAUUAAAUUACCUUAGGGAUAACAGCGUAAUUUUUUUUGAGAGUUCUUAUCGAAAAAAAAGAUUGCGACCUCGAUGUUGGAUUAAAGUUAAGUUUUGGUGAAGAAGCUAAAAUUUUAAGUCUGUUCGACUUUUAAAACUUUACAUGAUCUGAGU
rnacentral:rRNA from 1 species